CUUAGCUUCGGCGCAGCUCCUGCUCACUUUGAGUCCCAACCAGUGGGAUGAGGCACAGACUCGCCAUGAUCUGGUACUCGCUGCGGGUGGUACUACAUCCACGGUGACUGUGAGUAACGGGAAAUCAGUGUUCGGUCCCAAAAAGGGACCUCAGAAACAGCUACCACAUCCGAGGAAGACAGCAGGCCCACAAAUUACCCACUCUCAAACCAGAGAAGAAGUGACAAAAAAUAACAAUACGGGAUAUUCGAGGCCUUGUAAUUGGAAUGAGCAGGCUUUAAAUCCUUUCACAAGGAUUCAUCAGAGGGAAAGGCUGGUGCCAGCAGCCGUGGUAACUCCAGCUCCAACAGCAGAGAGACAGAAUAGGACUCCGGUUCUGUUUUGUUGGUUUUUAGAAAUGGGGCCAGGAUUAAGAGAGACAGCCGUACGCAUUCGUAUUGUGCUGCUUGGGGUGAAAUUCUUGAACCAGCGCAAGAUGAACUAAAGCAAAAGCAUUUGCCAAGAAGGUUUUCAUUAAUCAGGAAUGAAAGUUGGAGGCUCGAAGACGAUGAGAUCCCGUCACAGUUCCAACCACAAACAACACCGACCCAUGAUCCGGUGGCGUUAUUCCCAAGUUGAAAUUUUUGGGUUCGG
rfam:Struthio camelus australis contig56989, whole genome shotgun sequence.